UUUUUUCUAAAAAAAUGUAUUAACAUCUACAUGUUCAAAUAAAUGCAGUAUCCAGACAUUUUUAUGAAGAAGUUAACGAAACUAGUUUCAUAUGUAAAUGUUGGUGCAAUUUUUUACUCCAUAUGUUUCAAACUGUAAAUAGUUUUAGCUUUGUCACAAGUCAAGUUUGUCUCUAAGUAGUUUAUAGAACAAAAUUAUUAACAUCCACAUUUCGUGGUGUAUAAAAUAUAUUUCAUGGUGUAUCAAAUAAAAAAACA
rnacentral:lncRNA from 7 species